CCAACCUGGCCUUGAACACCUCCAGGGAUGGACGGGGCAUCCACAGCCUCUCUGGGCAGCUGUGCCAGCACAAGUCCUUCAGAACAACCAUCACCUCCCUGGUGGCUGGAGCCCAACCAGACCACAAGGAUUCACUGAGACUUACGGUACCUCCGAGAGACAAAGGUCAGGAAAUGGGCUCCUUGCCACUCUACGGCCAUGAUCCAGGUUUUCUGAGACUGAGUACAUUCAUCUGAGCUGUUAGCUGCUACGCUCCACCGCAUCCCUGUAUGAUCUGCCUAGGCUUGGUCCCCCAGAGGAAAUUUCUGCAUGCAUACUGUAUAUGAACUUUAGAUAAAUAAAUAAACACGAGAAACAGCUUCCAGAUAAUUGAAAGCGAGUGAAGGAGGGAGCAAAAAGAAAACAAUUUCUCAGGGGAGAAGCAAGCUGAGGUGGCAGGUGCAGCCUAAAUUCAGCCAAGGCAUUUUGGUUGUUCAGUACCUUCACGUAAUUAAUUAUUGAAGCACGCUUAGCUGUGGUAUCAACAUCUGUAUGGUACAAAUACUUCUUUAGCCCAGCUGGACUCAGCUGCAUUAUCUGCGACCUGAAGAGCACACGCUCACCUUGGUUAAAUGGGGCUCGACUCAGCAAUAUUCAGCAGAGCUGCGGUGGCUCCUGGCUCCGGCCACCAAGGCUCCACAGGAUUUUCACUGCUCAGGUGUUGCAAAGCCUAAUCCUUAUUCAGGAACCAAAACGCUCCCCUCUCCUUGCCUGCGGUGCUUGGAUGCCUGCCUUUGGCAGUAGCCCCAGACUCCUGCAGAAGAUGAAGACAUCCCUCCAUGCCUAUAGAUGGAAGAGCGCCAACAUGGAUGCCAUCAGAAGGACGCAGCUGAGCAUAUGCUGAGAAAAUUGUGGCAUCCAUACUGUACAUGGGGAAGGGCUGACUGAACACACCAGUUUGUUGAAGCUUAUGGCCCUGAAAAGGAAACAUAGGUUUCCUGUAAAUGUCAUUCAGGGAUAUGCUAACUGUUAUUUCCUGGCACUGGAUCAUGAUGCUUUCAACACAUUCUGUUCCUCUACCUCUGCUGCUACCUCUGCUGCCUGCCUGCCUGGCUGUGUGCAGUGAUAGCUCUCCUGUCUUCUCACCUUUCCUCCUCCCUGCGCCAGGCAAAGGUAUUGUGGUUGGGAGGGCCAAUGUCAGCGAACGAGAUGACGGACGGAGAGACGAAAUCUCAACCCUAUACUCAGCCUGGCUGCUGCCUGUACAUGGGCCUUGCUGCACCAUCCCUCGUAUGCAAAGCAAUUCAAGGAAAAAAGAGUAACUUCUGUUCCAUUAGAAAUCACAUAUUUCUGACCCAGAAAAAGAGGAAUCAUAGUCUCUCAGGACGUUUGCUGAAGGGAGGAUUUCUGGAGCCUGAACCAGAGGAGCCCAGGAGAUGUUGGUGUGAAGGCGCACUGCAAGCACCUGCUGCUCAUGGAGGAGUUCCUGUGGCAAUGCGUGUGCUCAGGAUGAAUAGGCUGGUCGUCACACAAGGAACUGCAUGCAGAAUCCAUCAGCUCCUUGCCAUGUUGCUCUUUGAGAUCACCUCCCAGAGAUGAUGAAGAUGUGUUAAUCCAAAGGAAGAGACGCAGCCAAGCUUGGAGCAUCCUCUCUGCUCCUUCCCAAGGUAUUAAAGUAGCACUGGACUCAACUAAGAGGAGCGAUCAAACUGUCUACUAAUGAAGUUACUGACAGGAACUCCAGGAACUGGAAACUGGACUUUGGAAUCAUGAAGAGCACUGAGACGGCAUGAGAAAAAAUCUGGAUGAAGACAUGGACUGGAGACACGUCAACCAUGCUAGAAGAAAUUGAAAGAAUAUGAUCCUGUUUGACUCUUAAAAAUCUUUCUAGGCUAAUUACCAGCUCACAAAGCAGAGAAAUUAAGGCAGAGAGGGCACGUUCAUGAUGACAACCUUUACCCAUUAGCAAGCUUUGCAUUUUCCCAAGGCUGAAGACAGUUUAGCCCUGACAAAUCCAAUCAGUGAUAUGCAGGCGUAACCUCCAGAAAUAAGCUCACAUCUUUAGGAUCCACAGGGCAAAAGAUGGACUGCAGUAGGUCACUAUUAAAAUACUUAAAAUACAGCCUGGCCAGUGCUGAAAUGGCACAGUUGGCCUGAAGUUGCUUCAAGGUCUCCUGGCAUCUGCAUGUUUCCCCAGUGUCUGUGUGCAGUACAGUGUUAACUUCUCCUGAGUGGUUACGUACUUAAGGCAGUAACUUUAAAAUAAGGAAUUGCAACCUCCCAGCAAAGCUGCUAUUUUGAGAAUUUUAAACCAUUAUUGACUCCUGUCAGAUCAGUUUCUAGACUUAUUGACUCAAGAAGUAAAUAUAGACUGAGAGAAAGCGAGGUCAAGUCAAUAUUUAUCUUGCAGAUCAAUACAUUUUGAUACUAACCAAAAAUUAAGCUCAAUAAAUGCAUAUAUUAUAUACAGCAAGGUUAGGAGAGAUCCAUUCAGAAAAUUUGUCAAUUUGAGAUUUCCCAACGGAAUCCAACCUUUUGGAUUCAAUUUCCAUUAGAAAUUCUCUCCUUUUAAGGCUGCUGAAGUGACUGAUCACGAGCCCCCACCACCCAAUCAGGUUUCCAGAUGAUAGUUGAGUAGCAGCGAAAGGAAGAAGGAAGAAAGAUGAAGUGAGAAAAAAGUUGGUCACAGGAGCUCGAUUACGGUGAUGGGAGGAGGCAGGAGAACGGAAGAGCUGGCAAGCUGAGACACUACCAGUACUUUGUGGAAACCGACAUAUGAAUUUGUUCUACAAAUGUGCCAGGGACACACUGAUCCAACAGUUAGAUCACUUCCAGAAGACACGGAGUUAGAUUUCUGAGUUCACUUCCAAUUGCUGACUACUACUAUCCAAUAGAAGAAAAAUUCUGCAUAAAGUAAACAAGGUAAUUAAUUAUAGCGCCCAGCGAUAUCCCAACAAGAGCUAAACUUUAAGCAUGCAAAAAAUAGAUGACAAAACAAAUGGUAAACUACUCUAAUUCUUAAAACAAAGAAUGUUCUCAUUGGUUUUGGGGACUUGAGGUUGCAGAUGGGCUUUGGAUUUGUUUGCAUGAUGGAGGUGAAGCAGAAAUAACUGAGAUUAGAUUUGGUGAUAGGAAAGUGGAGGAGGAGAUUCUGCUGGAAGGACAGAGGGGACAGCAAGCAUUUAAGUGAAUACAUUAACUUCAUUUGGGAAUAUGUAAGACAGAAAACCUCUUGAACACCAUGGGGGAUGACCUGUGCAGAAUUAUUGCACAAAAAGACCUUUUAACCUUUUUCACGUGUUUUUAAAAUGGCGUAAGGCUCACAUAUAAUGAAAUAUCAUUUCGGCAGUCCUAUGAAAGACCGGUAACUUUAAGAUCUGAUGUCUUAACUGUGUUUUUGUUCUUGAAUAUAACUUGCUGAUAGCGGGCCACUUUAUUUGAAAAAGAGGUCCAAAGGUAAAACACCUCUAUGAAGGAAAUAAAUAUAUCCGUGACGAGGAAAUAUAGUGGCAACAGCAGUGUGUUAUCAUUUAUUCUUUGUUUUUAGUAGAUCAGAGGAAGACUGACUGUCACUGCAGAGGGAAAAGGGCAUGAGAAUGAGUAUUGCAAGAAGAAAAAGUCUCAUUAAAACAUUCCUCCUUCUCUGGGAUGAAUACAGGGGAGUAAAAGUGUUCCUACAAGAACUGUAUUAUGUAGUGAUUUUAAAUAUGGUGUGAGAAUGAAGGACAUAUGAGCUGCAAUGAGAGAACCAAAGAGGAAUUAUGUGAUGUGUUCAGGCUGGGGGCUUGCUUCACAUGACAGCAGGAAGAGAGGAAAGGUGCAGGGAAAAAAAAUCGGAAUCUGCUCUAUUCUGAGCCUUUAAUGUCAGCCAUGUUGGUGUUUUGCAGCUACUUACAUUUGCUGAUGGUUCCCGGGCACUCCUGACAUUCAACUUUGCAUCGUCCCCUAAAAAUUGGAAAGAAAUCUCUUUGUGAAUGACCUGUAGCUUUGACAUCACCAUAACUAAACAAUUCAUUUCCUUUUCCUUAAGUAAUGGUGCAGACACUUGAGGAGCAGAAUGCUGUGAGCUUUUAUUUCCAGUCUGAGGACAGUUCUGUGAUAGGUGGGAUAAUGCCAGAACCUACUUUUCAUUAGACUGUGUGAUUUGACUAUAUAUUUCAUGGUCUGAAUGGUUUGAGUGAAUAAGUCAUGCCAGAAUUUAUGGGGUUUUCAUCACUACAAAUGAAUCUUCAUCAUUACUAUGUGGAUGUAAGUAUUCUUGGGCUGCAGAAGACCCACCAUGCCAGUACAAACUGAUGCCAACUUGUUGCCUACUAUUCCCUUAACAAUGACUCUGGGCCACUAAAACUCCAGGAUCCCAUAGGGACCUUCCUGGCCAUCCCAUUUUGAGUUUGCAGGACAGGAUCCUGGUCUUGUGUGAAAACCACUGACUAAAAAUUCUCCUUUCUCUUUUCUUUUACCUUAAGAAGAGGAAUGACCAAAGCCCACCUCCUUCUUUUUGGACCAGGCUGCCUUUCUAAGUGCAACAAAAAGCAACAGAAGUGGCAGAGAGAAUGAAUACAUAUUCCUUCCCUUCACGUAAAUCUUUUUUGGGGGGUUUUUCCUUGCCUUCCCCUCCCCAUUUAUUUUAACAGUGGAAAAGCUCUGGGAUUUAAUGCCCAACUUCCCAGGAUGACAGCAAGACCCUCAUGACCCAGCAGUGAGUCCCAGUUCCCACCUGGGUGCCUCUGGAGAGUGACAAAUCUCUUGGAUGUGCUCUCACAUCCCAGAAUCACAGGCCAGGAACAUCUGUCUGUUUCUUCCCUUCCUUCAGACUGCCCCGAGGAGGAGGGAGGCAGGCAAGUAAGGAUAUGAAAGGCAAAGGCUCAACUGGCCGUGUUACAUUAGCCAACUCAAAUAAUUCUUAUUGGCUGUGGAAACAGCCUUCCCAUCCAAAGCUGUCUUUAUUUUUUUCUUCCCUUUUUUCUCCCCUCCCCCCCCAAAAAAAAAAACCCAAAACCACCCAAGAACAGCUUAUUUGGGGCAGGUUCCUUGGCCGUGGGCCAGCUCUCCCUAUUGCCUCUCUGUGCUACUUCCCAAUGCCCCCCAAGUGACCUUACUGAAAGCCUCAGGGACCAAACUUUACCGAACAGCAAAAUCAAAGUAUGCAAAUGAAGCUCAGAUUAUUACAUAUAUAAUGAUAAUUUUUUUCCUAUGCUAUUGCCUGUGCCCAGCUUCCUUCCCUAUGACUCUGAGUGCUUCAGAGCUGUAUAUAGCUGUUGAGCUGAAGCACCCAAGGAUGGCUCUGAAGCAGGAAGAGAGUUCAAUCUGCAGGCUGGUUUUCCAGGCACUUUCUUUCUCAUUCUCCACAAGAUAAGAUGAUAUUCCUCCGGAUCUUGCUGUUAUUAUUUGGGUGUCUCUACUUCACAGCCAAGGGCAGAUGAAUGCCUUGCGCAGCCUCUUCAGUCCACUCUAGUUCUAUUUUAGGCUGAGAAGACUGUGCUGCUUGGAUAGAUGGGUGCAUUUCAUGCCAAAAGCUCAGUUUUUCUGCAAAGUUAGGCAUCUCAGUUUGAAGAAAUAAGUACAAGGUAAAGCUGUUUGAAGGAGUGCAUGAAGCUGAGUUGCUAUCAGAUGUAUAUGGCAUUAAGUACGCAUCCUGACUAGGCACUCUCCUGCAAAGAAGGAGAGAUGAUGUUUACUUGGGCAUGUUAAUGAAUGAGAGGAUGCAUAUUGUGACACUAAAUCCUAUCCACAGUACCAGUUCAACAGGCAUUUAAACACUGAAGUCUGAACUCUGCAUAACCAAUGGGAUCUCGAUGAAGGAUGUGCAAGAACACUUGUCUGAAGACACCUACUCUUUAUUUUUACUACAAAAUCAAUUAGCAUUUCAAAGCAGCCAUCUGACAUGUACAACGUCAGGAGCCAGAUGUUGGCAUUGUGAUAUUAAUUUAAAAGGAGAAUUUUUUAUUAUUAUUUUUUUAAAUGUUGACUUCACAAGGAUUAAGUUGAAUAUUCUCAAUGUAGUAGAAAAAAGAAUUGACAUUCCCCAAAGACAAACAUUCUUGUUUUCUAUUUGGUUCUAUAGCUCAGUGAUUUCUCUCUGGAGGAAGCACAAAACAGAAAGAACUUCUGGUCUCAGGUAAAGUUUUGCUUCAGCUGAUCUUUCUAAAAACAUGCAUCUUUUUGGCUGUUUCCAUUUUGAAUCACAGAAUGGCCUGGGUUGUAAAGGCCCACAGUGCUCACCCAGCUCCAACCUCCUGCUGUGUGCAGGGU